GACUCGCCAUUCUACUAUUAUUAGCAUCAUCAUGCUCAUCAAUGGAGAUAGACGGAGGUGGCAGUCCAAUCUAGAUGAGUCAUGACUAGUGAGACAUCCUAUUUUAUUGUCAUUCGAAUAAGGGUGUUCUGUCAUACUUAUUCCUAACUCUUUAGGAAUGGAGCAUCUGCCAAAUACUAAUGGAAUAAAACUUUAUAUUUAAUUAAACACAUUUAAUAUUAAAACAAAG
rnacentral:lncRNA from 1 species